ACCUGGACCACCUGUAAUACUGAGACAAGACCCAAUUACUCCCGUGAUUUUUGGGCACAUGUGUGGAGGGUUUGCCAGAAGAGCAGAUUCCAAAGCCCAGAUGCUAAAAUGUGGAGGAGGCACAGCCUGCUCAGACUACAACAGGGAGUCUAUGAGGAAG